AGCCCCGGAGCCCUUAAAGGCUCAUCUUUAAAUUUGCAUUUUAACGUGAAACACCUCAGGACU
rnacentral:tRNA from 1 species